AGAGUUUGAUCCUGGCUCAGGAUGAACGCUGGCGGCGUGCCUAAUACAUGCAAGUCGAGCGAAUGGAUUAAGAGCUUGCUCUUAUGAAGUUAGCGGCGGACGGGUGAGUAACACGUGGGUAACCUGCCCAUAAGACUGGGAUAACUCCGGGAAACCGGGGCUAAUACCGGAUAACAUUUUGCACCGCAUGGUGCGAAAUUGAAAGGCGGCUUCGGCUGUCACUUAUGGAUGGACCCGCGUCGCAUUAGCUAGUUGGUGAGGUAACGGCUCACCAAGGCAACGAUGCGUAGCCGACCUGAGAGGGUGAUCGGCCACACUGGGACUGAGACACGGCCCAGACUCCUACGGGAGGCAGCAGUAGGGAAUCUUCCGCAAUGGACGAAAGUCUGACGGAGCAACGCCGCGUGAGUGAUGAAGGCUUUCGGGUCGUAAAACUCUGUUGUUAGGGAAGAACAAGUGCUAGUUGAAUAAGCUGGCACCUGACGGUACCUAA
rnacentral:rRNA from 1 species